UAGAACCAAGACAUUCCUGGUAACCUGGCGU
rnacentral:piRNA from 1 species